GGGCCCGCACAAGCGGUGGAGCAUGUGGUUUAAUUCGAUGAUACGCGAGGAACCUUACCAGGGUUUAAAUGCAGAACGACAGGGGUGGAAACACCCCCUUCUUCGGACGGACUGCAAGGUGCUGCAUGGUUGUCGUCAGCUCGUGCUGUGAAGUGUCGGGUUAAGUCCCAUAACGAGCGCAACCCCCAUUUCUAGUUGCCAGCGGUUCGGCCGGGGACUCUAAGAAGACUGCCAGCGCAAGCUGAGAGGAAGGUGGGGAUGACGUCAAAUCAUCACGGCCCUUACGUCCUGGGCUACACACGUGCUACAAUGGUGGGGACAACAGGUUGCCAACCCGCGAGGGUGAGCCAAUCCCAAAACCCCAUCUCAGUUCGGAUCGGAGUCUGCAACUCGACUCCGUGAAGUUGGAAUCGCUAGUAAUCG
rnacentral:rRNA from 1 species